rnacentral:rRNA from 1 species
AUUGAACGCUGGCGGCAGGCUUAACACAUGCAAGUCGAGCGGGGGAAGGUAGCUUGCUACCGGACCUAGCGGCGGACGGGUGAGUAAUGCUUAGGAAUCUGCCUAUUAGUGGGGGACAACAUCUCGAAAGGGAUGCUAAUACCGCAUACGUCCUACGGGAGAAAGCAGGGGAUCUUCGGACCUUGCGCUAAUAGAUGAGCCUAAGUCGGAUUAGCUAGUUGGUGGGGUAAAGGCCUACCAAGGCGACGAUCUGUAGCGGGUCUGAGAGGAUGAUCCGCCACACUGGGACGGAGACACGGCCCAGACGCCUACGAGAGGCAGCAGUGGGGAAUAUUGGACAAUGGGGGGAACCCUGAUCCAGCCAUGCCGCGUGUGUGAAGAAGGCCUUAUGGUUGUAAAGCACUUUAAGCGAGGAGGAGGCUACUCUAGUUAAUACCUAGGGAUAGUGGACGUUACUCGCAGAAUAAGCACCGGCUAACUCUGUGCCAGCCGCCGCCGUAA